rnacentral:rRNA from 1 species
AGUGAACGCUGGCGGCGUGCCUAAUACAUGCAAGUCGAACGGAGAUUAAGUAGCUUGCUAUUUAAUCUUAGUGGCGCACGGGUGAGUAAUAUAUAGCUAACUUGCCCAUUACUAAGGGACAACAGUUGGAAACGACUGCUAAUACCUUAUACUCCGUAUCUAUAUAAGUAGAUACGGGAAAGUUUUUCGGUAAUGGAUAGGGCUAUAUCGUAUCAGCUAGUUGGUAAGGUAAUGGCUUACCAAGGCUAUGACGCGUAACUGGUCUGAGAGGAUGAUCAGUCAGACUGGAACAGAGACACGGUCCAGACUCCUACGGGAGGCAGCAGGAGGGAAGAUUGAUCAAUGGGGGAAACCCUGAAGCAGCAACGCCGCGUGGAGGAUGACACUUUUCGGAGCGGAAACUCCUUUUCUUGGGAAAGAAUUAUGACGGUACCCAAGGAAUAAGCACCGGCUAACUCCGUG